UACGUAGGGGGCAAGCGUUGUCCGGAUUUACUGGGCGUAAAGCGCGUGUAGGCGGUUUGCCAAGUCCGGGGUGAAAGGCGGGGGCUCAACCCCCGAACUGCGCUGGAAACUGGCAGACUUGAGUGUCGGAGAGGGGAGUGGAAUUCUCGGUGUAGCGGUGAAAUGCGUAGAGAUCGAGAGGAACACCCGUGGCGAAGGCGGCUCCCUGGCCGAACACUGACGCUGAGACGCGAAAGCGCGGGGAGCGAACGGG
rnacentral:rRNA from 1 species